GGCGCCGCUGAGCACAAGGGAGAAGUUCAUCACGAAGGCGGCCAUGGCUAUGGGGCCGCUGCGGCCGCCGGUCACGGUCACGGCGAGCAGCACAAGGAAGGGUUUAUGGAUAAGAUCAAGGACAAGAUCCACGGCGAGGGAGGUCAUGAACCUGGUCAUGAGGGCGAAAAGAAAAAGAAGAAGGAGAAGAAGAAGCAUGAAGAUGGCCAUGAAAGCAGCAGCAGCAGCGACAGUGAUUAGAUCUUCCAUCAUCGUCUUAGUAUUCCUCUCCCUUAUGGUAUCGGGUAAAUUUUUUUGGAUUUUUUUGCUAUUUUAUAUGCAGAAAUCUUGAUGGCGUUUUAAUAAUUGAAAUAAAUUUAACCUUAUAUUGUUGAUUAAGCAUGGAAUUUUCUACCAAGAAAAUGGUUAAAACAGCAACAUUUUCUAGAUCCUAGCAAAUCUAGUAACAAAGGGGAAUUAUGAAUUAAUAGUAUUUUUAAUGUGAAGUUAUUACGAAAAUUUUAAUUUCUUUUAUUUUAAUACGUUUUAAUUAUAAUAAAAAAUAUUUUAGUUAGUAGCAGGUUAAAUAGAUAUAAAGGUUUUGAUCUCAUUUUUUAAAAUAAAUGAAUAUAUUUUUUAUUGCAGGUGC
rnacentral:lncRNA from 1 species